rnacentral:rRNA from 1 species
UGGGGAAUAUUGCGCAAUGGGGGCAACCCUGACGCAGCAACGCCGCGUGCAGGAAGAAGGUCUUCGGAUUGUAAACUGUUGUCGCAGGGGAAGAAGACAGUGACGGUACCCUGUGAGAAAGUCACGGCUAACUACGUGCCAGCAGCCGCGGUAAUACGUAGGUGACAAGCGUUGUCCGGAUUUACUGGGUGUAAAGGGCGCGUAGGCGGGAUAGCAAGUCAGUCGUGAAAUGCCGAGGCUUAACCUCGGAGCUGCGAUUGAAACUGUUAUUCUUGAGUAUCGGAGAGGAAAGCGGAAUUCCUAGUGUAGCGGUGAAAUGCGUAGAUAUUAGGAGGAACACCAGUGGCGAAGGCGGCUUUCUGGACGACAACUGACGCUGAGGCGCGAAAGUGUGGGGAGC